AUCUAUGGUCAUAUCACCCUGAACAUGCCUGAUCUCAUCUGAUCUCAGAAGCUAAGCAGGGUAGGGCCUGCUUAGUACUUGGAUGGGAGACCACCUGGGAAAACUGAAUGCUGUAGGCU
rnacentral:rRNA from 1 species